GACGAACGCUGGCGGCGUGCUUAACACAUGCAAGUCGAGCGGUAAGGCCCUUUCGGGAGUACACGAGCGGCGAACGGGUGAGUAACACGUGGGUGACCUGCCCUCAGCUCUGGGAUAAGCCUGGGAAACCGGGUCUAAUACCGGAUAUGACUCCAUGACGCAUGUUGUGGGGUGGAAAGCCUUGUGCGGCUGAGGAUGGGCCCGCGGCCUAUCAGCUUGUUGGUGGGNGAUGGCCUACCAAGGCGACGACGGGUAGCCGGCCUGAGAGGCGACCGGCCACACUGGGACUGAGACACGGCCCAGACUCCUACGGGAGGCAGCAGUGGGGAAUCUUGCGCAAUGGGCGAAAGCCUGACGCAGCGACGCCGCGUGAGGGAUGACGGCCUGGUGUAACU
rnacentral:rRNA from 1 species